UUGGAGGGCAAGUCUGGUGCCCGCAGCCGCGGUAAUUCCAGCUCCAAUAGCGUAUAUUAAAGUUGUUGCAGUUAAAAAGCUCGUAGUUGAACCUCGGGGUCUACCCAUUGGUCAGGCUUAAUUGUCUGUACUGGUGAGAUGGAUCUCUACCCUCUGAGGAACUUUCAUGCCAUUUAUUUGGUGUGAUGGGAAAUCAGGACUGUUACUUUGAAAAAAUUAGAGUGUUUAAAGCAGACUAUCGUCUGAAUACACUAGCAUGGAAUAAUGAAAUAGGACGGACUGAUUCUAUUUCGUUGGUUUCUAGGAUCACCGUAAUGAUUAAUAGGGAUAGUUGGGGGCAUUAGUAUUCAAUUGUCAGAGGUGAAAUUCUUGGAUUUAUUGAAGACUAACUACUGCGAAAGCAUUUGCCAAGGAUGUUUUCAUUAAUCAAGAACGAAAGUUAGGGGAUCGAAGACGAUCAGAUACCGUCGUAGUCUUAACCAUAAACUAUGCCGACUAGGGAUCGGACGAAGUUAAUUUUAUAAUGACGCGUUCGGCGCCUUACGGGAAAC
rnacentral:rRNA from 1 species